GAUCAUGGCUCAGGAUGAACGCUAGCUACAGGUUUAACACAUGCAAGUCGAGGGGAGACGACAUCGAAAGCCUGCUUCCGAUGGGCGUCGACCGGCGCACGGGUGAGUAACGCGUAUCCAACCUGCCCACCACUUGGGGAUAACCUUGCGAAAGUAAGACUAAUACCCAAUGAUAUCUCUAGAAGACAUCUGAAAGAGAUUAAAGAUUUAUCGGUGAUGGAUGGGG
rnacentral:rRNA from 1 species